GUGCCCCUUUAACACUGACAUAGUGCCUUAAGAAGCUAACACAGAAGGGUAAAGGGACCCUCCAUAGAACCCAGAGAAGAGACUGAAACUCUUUGAAUCUUGUGUGAAGUCACAGCG
ensembl:snoRNA small nucleolar RNA SNORA26